ensembl:lncRNA
CCGGCUUUGAAAAGCAUAUUUUCUUGUCCAAGAAACGUGCAUUUGAGAUAAACAAACAAACGUGAUAUUUAAUUUAGCUACAAAACGUUCGAAUGUAGCUGGUGGUCGUCACAUACAUUUGGCUAUGGUGAAAUGCGAGGUUCUGGGGUAUCCUAAUCGAAGCGACAAUAAUAAAUGAGCGUUUCCGAAUCGACCUAAGAGGUUUUGACAUUUUCCUAAGGACCAGACUCGAAUAGAAAUGUGCCUUGCUGCCCUGCGAAAGACGGAAAAGUAGGAUUCAACGGAGGAGCACAUCAUAUGUGAAAAACACUUUCUGACAGACCACAUACCGCCACUUGGAAUAAGCGAUGAUGCCAUUCCUAUCAUGCCACCAUACCUCGACGGACCACUAAAUCUGAUCAGCCCGUGGGCGAGGAGGAAUUCGUGGAUGAAGAUGUUGCAACGGCUAAGCACGGGAGGAUACGCCCAUGAUUACUUUGAUUGAUAGCUUUCUUAUCGCAAUGAUUGUAGUCGUUGUUUUUAGUAAUCCCUGUCUACAUAUAUUUUAUUCACAGAAUGUUGAUGUUGAAGAAGAAUAUGAUGAGCCAGCCCGAGACAGAACCAUCUGCAUCUAUGUAAGUCUAGGUCCUGUGAACUGGUUGAAAGCACCAAGACAAAGACAAGACAAGAGGUCCGUGUCCAGUCACCAGUUUUGUGGGGCCGAAGCAGAGGUUUUAGCGGGAGCUGCAGAACCUGAAGACGGUGGAGGAAAGUCUGGAUGAGCUCAUCAAGACCUGUGCACAGCAGCUCUUUGACAUGAUGGACAGCCUAGACAACAGAGAAUAUCCUUUUAGAACAUAAACACUGUAAAAAACUGUUGGUCACUAAAUCCGUCUAGAAGGACCAUGUAAAAGUGGUCGGCUGUGAAUGCCCUCGCCCGUCUGAGCGCAGUCGGCUGAAUGCCCUCCCCCGUCUGAGCAGUCGGCUAUGAAUGCCCUCCCCCAUCUGAGCAGUCGGCUAUGAAUGCCCUCCCCGUCUGAGCAGUCGGCUAUGAAUGCCCUCCCCCGUCUGAGCAGUCGGCUAUGAAUGCCCUCCCCGCCUGAGCAGUCGGCUAUGAAUGCCCUCACCCG